rnacentral:rRNA from 1 species
GCUUGUCUCAAAGAUUAAGCCAUGCAUGUCUAAGUAUAAGCCUUUACACGGUGAGACUGCGAAUGGCUCAUUAAAUCAGAAACUGUUUAUUUGAUAGUGCCUACUACUUGGAUAACCGUAGUAAUUCUAGAGCUAAUACAUGCGAAAAAUCUCGACUCACGGAGAGAUGCUUUUAUUAGAUCAAAACCAAACGGCUUCGGCCGUCUCAUUGGUGACUCUGAAUAACUUUGGGCUGAUCGUAUGGCCUUGUGCCGACGACGUUUCCUUCGAAGGUGUGCCCUAUCAACUGUCGACUGUGAUAUAGACGCUCACAGUGGUUUUGACGGGUAACGGGGAAUCAGGGUUCGAUUCCGGAGAGGGAGCCUUAAAAACGGCUACCACAUCCAAGGAAGGCAGCAGG